AGGACGAACGCUGGCGGCGUGCUUAACACAUGCAAGUCGAGCGGAAAGGCCCUUCGGGGUACUCGAGCGGCGAACGGGUGAGUAACACGUGAGUAAUCUGCCUUCAGCUCUGGGAUAGCUCCGGGAAACCGGGAUUAAUACCGGAUAUGACCACUUCGGACAUCUGUUGUGGUGGAAAGUUUUUCGGCUGGAGAUGAGCUCGCGGCCUAUCAGCUUGUUGGUGGGGUAAAGGCCUACCAAGGCGACGACGGGUAGCCGGCCUGAGAGGGCGACCGGCCACACUGGGACUGAGACACGGCCCAGACUCCUACGGGAGGCAGCAGUGGGGAAUAUUGCGCAAUGGGCGGAAGCCUGACGCAGCGACGCCGCGUGGGGGAUGAAGGCCUUCGGGUUGUAAACCCCUUUCAGCAGGGACGAAGCGCAAGUGACGGUACCUGCAGAAGAAGCGCCGGCUAACUACGUGCCAGCAGCCGC
rnacentral:rRNA from 1 species